rnacentral:rRNA from 1 species
GACGAACGCUGGCGGCGUGCUUAACACAUGCAAGUCGAACGGUAAGGCCCUUCGGGGUACACGAGUGGCGAACGGGUGAGUAACACGUGGGUGAUCUGCCCUGCACUUCGGGAUAAGCCUGGGAAACUGGGUCUAAUACCGGAUAGGACCACUGCCGGCAUGGGUGGUGGUGGAAAGCUUUUGCGGUGUGGGAUGGGCCCGCGGCCUAUCAGCUUGUUGGUGGGGUGAUGGCCUACCAAGGCGACGACGGGUAGCCGGCCUGAGAGGGUGACCGGCCACACUGGGACUGAGAUACGGCCCAGACUCCUACGGGAGGCAGCAGUGGGGAAUAUUGCACAAUGGGCGCAAGCCUGAUGCAGUGACGCCGCGUGAGGGAUGACGGCCUUCGGGUUGUAAACCUCUUUCAGCACCGACGAAGCGCAAGUGACGGUAGGUGCAGAAGAAGGACCGGCCAACUACGUGCCAGCAGCCGCGGUAA